AGACGCCCACUCGCUGGGCCAAUAAGCAAUGCCCCACCGGCUGUCCCGCCCCCAACACCGUAGUGGUUGGUUAGUUCGCGUUAUUUGAGGCGACUGCCACGCUUCUAUUGGCUUUCCGCCAGUUCCAUCAUUGUGAUGGACAGUUAUUUGCCUUUAAUAGCGGAAGUGCCACGACUGGUACUAGCUGUAUUACAGGGUUACCAUUUUCUACAUUUGGAGCAAGCACUGCAGAUGAAAGUUUAAGACUAUCCACUGAACAGCCUGUCUGUGACCUGCUGAGACAAGGCACUGUCUACUGGCCAGCUGUCUCCAUCCAGCAGAAGGAUCCAAGGGCUGAACAUCUGCUUGCACUCUGUUAAAGAUGCUGUCUGGAGCUUAGACACUGCAAUGCCUUUUGCAUUCCAUGACCUUGUCCCCUUUUAAGAUGGACAAUUUUUGGGAGGGGUGAAGAAAAAUGAGUAGAUGCAAGUAUCAAGUUUGAGAGUCAGCAAAUCUAAAUGAACAGAUGUGUCAACAGUGUAUUUGAGGUAGAGACUGAUGUUGGCAGU